GGGGCCAUAGCUCAGUUGGGAGAGCGCUUGAAUGGCAUUCAAGAGGUCGUCGGUUCGACUCCGAUUGGCUCCACCA
rnacentral:tRNA from 1 species